rnacentral:misc_RNA from 1 species
AAAAACCACUCAAGCUCUUUUGCUUGGUCAUGGAAGAGGAGUAUGCUAGUCAUUCUCCCUUUCGAAAUCCAAAGGCGGAAAGUCUCAUGUGCCCCGGCGUAGUAAGUUUUCUUUCGCUUGGAACAUGAGGUGAUCCUGCCACAAACCCCCAAUUUUUCUAGGUUGACCUCGGAUCAGGUAGGGAUACCCGCUGAACUUAA